GUGGGGAAUCUUGCGCAAUGGGCGAAAGCCUGACGCAGCCAUGCCGCGUGAAUGAUGAAGGUCUUAGGAUUGUAAAAUUCUUUCACCGGGGACGAUAAUGACGGUACCCGGAGAAGAAGCCCCGGCUAACUUCGUGCCAGCAGCCGCGGUAAUACGAAGGGGGCUAGCGUUGCUCGGAAUUACUGGGCGUAAAGGGCGCGUAGGCGGACAGUUUAGUCAGAGGUGAAAGCCCAGGGCUCAACCUUGGAAUUGCCUUUGAUACUGGCUGUCUUGAGUACGGGAGAGGUGAGUGGAACUCCGAGUGUAGAGGUGAAAUUCGUAGAUAUUCGGAAGAACACCAGUGGCGAAGGUGACUCACUGGCCCGUUACUGACGCUGAGGCGCGAAAGCGUGGGGAGCAAACAGGAUUAGAAACCCGAGUAGUCC
rnacentral:rRNA from 1 species